CGUACACUCCUGCGGGAGGCAGCAGUGGGGAAUUUUGGACAAUGGGCGAAAGCCUGAUCCAGCCAUGCCGCGUGCAGGAUGAAGGCCUUCGGGUUGUAAACUGCUUUUGUACGGAACGAAACGGCCUUUUCUAAUAAAGAGGGCUAAUGACGGUACCGUAAGAAUAAGCACCGGCUAACUACGUGCCAGCAGCCGCGGUAAUACGUAGGGUGCAAGCGUUAAUCGGAAUUACUGGGCGUAAAGCGUGCGCAGGCGGUUAUGUAAGACAGUUGUGAAAUCCCCGGGCUCAACCUGGGAACUGCAUCUGUGACUGCAUAGCUAGAGUACGGUAGAGGGGGAUGGAAUUCCGCGUGUAGCAGUGAAAUGCGUAGAUAUGCGGAGGAACACCGAUGGCGAAGGCAAUCCCCUGGACCUGUACUGACGCUCAUGCACGAAAGCGUGGGGAGCAAACAGGAUUAGAUACCCUGGUAGUCCCA
rnacentral:rRNA from 1 species